rnacentral:rRNA from 1 species
UACAGAGGGGGCGAGCGUUGUUCGGAAUUACUGGGCGUAAAGGGCGCGUAGGCGGCCAACUAAGUCGGACGUGAAAUCCCCUGGCUCAACCAGGGAACUGCGUCCGAUACUGAUUGGCUUGAAUCCGGGAGAGGGAUGUGGAAUUCCAGGUGUAGCGGUGAAAUGCGUAGAUAUCUGGAGGAACACCGGUGGCGAAGGCGGCAUCCUGGACCGGUAUUGACGCUGAGGAGCGAAAGCCAGGGGAGCAAACGGG